UAAUAAGACUCUAAAGUCAGUUAAAUAUAUAUUUUUUAAAACUACGAUUGUAAAUUCUUUUCUUCUUAGCAAAUACAUAAACUAGCACUAAUAAGAAACAAUUUAUAAGAAAAUUAAAAUAAAAUGUUGCAUCUUUGAGAAACAAUAUUUAUUCUGAGAUCAAGAAGUUAUAUCUUAACAUGCUCGUUUUCUUCGAUAAAUAAUUGAGUCAAUACCAUUUUCAAAAGUUAAGUUGAAUAAAUUUUAAAGUCUCCACCAGGCUUUUAAAACAUUACGCCAGUACCGGUCCAAAUCAGGCCGCCGCACCGUGGGAUUUUUAAUGGAUUUUAAAUAAAAACAUUUUAUUUUAUACUUUUAGUUAAAAAGAGAGGACAGAAAUAAAAUGAGGAAAAAUUAAAUGACAGGUAACCCCACUUUUCCUUCAAAAAAAACUAAUGCAUAUACAUGGUAAAAGUACAUAUAUGUAGUGCAAAACUUUCUUUUACUUUUAUGCUGCAUUGAAGGUAAGAAGUUAUCCUCACUAUUGCCUUAAAGCAUCGGGAUGCACUCGUUAUUAAUAUGUAACUCGGUUUGUUUUAAGCAAUGGGAAAUACUAAAAAGAAAACAAUGUUUCUUUAGAGUCAUUUAAACUUUAAUUAAAAUUAACUACAACAAAUAAAGUUCUAUUUACCUGCUGAUACCUGCUGACUACCAAAUUCUAUUAGAUGAAGUAACAAUAAAGCCUUAAAACAGUGUAAAAUUAUUAGGAGUAACAUUGGAUCAGCAUCUAACCUUUAAACAGCAGAUCGAGUCGGUAAUAAAAAAAUGCCACUCUUCUCUGGGAAUGUUGGCAAGACCAUCAGCAAGCCUACCAAAAAAAUUAUUUAAGUUGGCCUACAACGAAAUGGUGCUUAGUCAAAUGGAAUUUAUUAGUUCAUUCUAUAUUUCAAUAUCAAACACCUAUAUAAAAAAAUUAGACGUAGUACAAAAACAAGCCGCAAGAAUCAUUUCCUAUGCACCACGAAAUUCCCAUGCUGCACCAUUAAUUAAAGAACUUGGUUUUAAUGCACUAGAAGAUCGAAGAACGGAUUAUGCAAUGAAAAUAAUUUUAUCAGUUGCUAAAGGAAAAUGCUAUCCUGCUUUAAACGAACUUAUCCAAGUAAAGAAGGAAAGUCUUUUAAAAAUAACAGUAUCAAAUAAUACAUAUUGUAAAAAAAGAUUUUGUGUCUCUAAAGCCAUUCUGUACAAUAAAGAAUUACAAAAACAGAGAGAAAAAGACAAAAAUUAAAAAAAAACAAAAAAAACACAAAAAAUAUAAAAUAACAAAAAUACAAAAAAAUAUAAAACAUUAAAAAUACAAAAAAAAAAAGUUAAAUUCGAGCAGCGGAAGAAAGACCGGAUACUAAAGUCAAAUAAAAUAAAUUACAAAGAAGCGCAAAUAGAAAAACCUAUAAAGGACCAAAUAAUAGAACAUUCUCCAAAGGCAUAGCUGUCUAGCUGUCAUCGAAAGAAAAUUAAAAUUUACUAUUAAUACUACUAUUAAGAUUGAUAACUUUUAGACAUAAAGCAAACUUGCGCUUGAUUAUUCUUUUUAUUUAUACAUUAUUUCGUAUAUCAAAAAAAGAUGCUUUACAACUUAUUGAGUUACAGAACUUGGGAACAUCAAAAACUCCGAAGCUCUGCAAUCAUUGUUUUGGUUUUUAAAACUAAAAUAAAAACUGUAAUUCUUAAUAAAAAAACUAUAAUUAAUUUUAGUUGCAACCGUAUAACAUAUUCUUCAAAAUAAAUCAAAACAAAAUAAACAACUCAGAGUAGUUUUAAUUAGUUAAACAAAACAACUUACGAUUAGCAAUGCAAUGUUAUCACCAAAAAAAUAAUCAACUUAUAGUAAAACCUAUAUAAAGUUUUAAAAUCAUUUUAUAACUUUUAAUCGGCGAAAAGAAAAAUCAAUAAAACUUUAAAUCGACGAAGAGGAAAAGAAAAUUUGUUCGUUAUAUUCGAAUAUUUAGAAAUUUCUUUAAGGCGGACAGCUUUGAAGAGGUCAGCGAUUUAUCUAAACUAUAAGUUUAUUUUCAAGACUGGAAAGAAAAGUUUAUUUUCAAGACUGGAAAGAAUAGCUAAAAAAAUAAGCUCAAGCCAAAUUAAACUUCAGAGAUUUUUAUAAUCAACAAUAUUAGACACCCUAAAAAAACUCUUUAUUGAUAAGGAAAUAAUUUAGGUAAUGUUCGAGUUGCUAAUCAAAAUUUAAAAGGUCAAUAGAAGUAGCGAGAGAAAACUUAUCCAAGUUGUUGACAUUAAGUUUUGACAUUGUUGAAUUUUAAGCAGUUUUUGUUUUAAUGGUUACCAAACAAAAUAAGAAAAUUAUAAUACAGAGCUUUUGAAACUUUUGAAACAGUUAUGUGUAGUUUUUAAAAAAUGUUGAUCUGCUUGGAAUCUUGACGUUGCAGAAAACGAAGUUCAAGUCGACAAGUGCAAUAAUUGGUUAAUUUUUUCUUUUUUUUUGUUAUUGUAGAAUGCUUAAAAUGUCUAAAAAAGUUAAUCUUGUUCAAAUCAAGGAUACUUAUAAAGAAGAAAAGUUGGAACAUUUCUUACCAGAUGUUCAUAAGGACAAAUCAUUUAAACUUACUAAUAGAGAUGUUAAAGGUGGUGUUUAUCAUUUUUUAAAUUUGGAAAACUCUUUGAAAAAAUCAAAUCAACUAGAAACUAGUUCUUGUUUACCCGUAAUAAACAAAUGGUCGUCGUCUUUUAUUUGUUCUUCUAAUUGCACUACAGAAAAAAAACAAGAUAAAAUAAAACUGCCAUCUAUUGAUAGUUUGAACAAUAAUUUGAACAAAAAUCAAACAAAACAACGUCACUGGAGGAAAAAAUAAAGUUAUUAAUUUUUUUAAAAUAUAAAUCUUUUUAUAGCGUA